AGUAAGCGGAGGAUAAGAAACUAAAUAGGAUUCCCUCAGUAAUGGCGAAUGAACAGGGAUAAGCUCAGCUUGGAAAUUGGGCCCUCUGGGCUUGAAUUGUAGUCUUUCGAUGGCAUUGCCAGCGGAGGCGCAGAUGUAAGCCUCUUGGAAAAGAGCAUCAAUGAGGGUGAGAGUCCCGUUUGUCAUCUGCAGUCCUCUGUUUACGGUGUGCUUUCUAAGAGUCACGUUCCUUGGGACUGGAGCGCAAAUUGGGUGGUAAAUUUCAUCUAAAGCUAAAUAUUGGUUCGAGACCGAUAGCAAACAAGUACCAUGAGGGAAAGGUGAAAAGGACUUUGAAAAGAGAGUUAAAAGUGCCUGAAAUUGCUGAAAGGGAAGCGAAUGGAACCAGUCUUCUUGGUGAGAUUGUUGUGCGCUAUUGUGAUUGCUUUCUGCUUCAACGCAAGUGUUGCAGUGGGUUUUGAGCAUGACGCGCACUUUGUUUCUCACCUCGUGUGUCAACGUCGGUUCAGAUUUGAGGAAAACUCUAGGGACAUGGGUAAUUGCUCGCGAGUGAUUGAAUGUGCCUGGUAGAACUCAUGUCUAAACUGAUUUCCGCAUGUCUGGUCGCAGUGUUCUCAUUACCUGCGUCUGGGUUCGUGGCUUGUAGCUUCUGUUACUCGUCGCGGGCUCUGGGCCUGGUCGUGGAGCAUCUCCCUGACAUUAGUACGAUGACAAAAUGGUUUCAUUCGACCCG
rnacentral:rRNA from 1 species